UUGUCCUUAGUUACCAGCACGUUAUGGUGGGCACUCUAAGGAGACUGCCGGUGACAAACCGGAGGAAGGUGGGGAGUGACGUCAAGUCAUCAUGGCCCUUACGGCCUGGGCUACACACGUGCUACAAUGGUCGGUACAAAGGGUUGCCAAGCCGCGAGGUGGAGCUAAUCCCAUAAAACCGAUCGUAGUCCGGAUCGCAGUCUGCAACUCGACUGCGUGAAGUCGGAAUCGCUAGUAAUCGUGAAUCAGAAUGUCACGGUGAAUACGUUCCCGGGCCUU
rnacentral:rRNA from 1 species